rnacentral:rRNA from 1 species
AGAGUUUGAUCCUGGCUCAGGACGAACGCUGGCGGCGUGCCUAACACAUGCAAAUCGAGCGAUGAAGCCCUUCGGGGUGGAUUAGCGGCGGACGGGUGAGUAACACGUGGGUAACCUGCCUCAAAGAGGGGGAUAGCCUCCCGAAAGGGAGAUUAAUACCGCAUAACAUUAGUUUUUCGCAUGAAGAACUAAUUAAAGGAGUAAUCCGCUUUGAGAUGGACCCGCGGCGCAUUAGCUAGUUGGUGAGGUAAAGGCUCACCAAGGCGACGAUGCGUAGCCGACGUGAGAGGGUGAUCGGCCACAUUGGAACUGAGACACGGUCCAGACUCCUACGGGAGGCAGCAGUGGGGAAUUUUUCUCAAUGGGCGAAAGCCUGAUGCAGCAACGCCGCGUGCGUUUUAUCCUUCGGGUUGUAAAGCUCUGUCUUUGGGACGAUAAUGACGUACCAAAGAGAAGCCCACGGCC